CUUUCCGCCAGAGAACUACAAGUGAAAAACUUGAAACUCAAAGGACUUGACGGUGUCCCACAUCGGCCUAGAGGAGCCUGUCCUAUAAUCGAUACCCCCCGUUCCACCCAACCUUAACUAGCAAAUAUACUCAGCCUAUAUACCGCCGUCGACAGUUUACCCUAUGAAGGUCCAACAGUAGACAUAAUAGCCUUUAACACUAAUACGUCAGGUCAAGGUGUAGCAAAUGUUAAGGAAGAGAUUGGCUACAUUUUUUAUAAUAAAAAAUACGGAUUGCAAUAUGAAACACUGCAUGAAGGUGAAUUUAGUAGUAAAACAGAUAAGAGUGUCUGUUUUAACAACGCUCUGG
rnacentral:rRNA from 1 species